UGCCAACUCUCUCUCAGGUACCCUGAGGUAUCCUCUGUCUCUGAGCACAUCCCUGAUGACCCAAGGCUUAGAGGAGGACGAGGGGGAAUAUGUGUGUUCCUUUCUCUGUUGCAAAGAGUUCCUGGAGACUUGAAGCAGGUUACAGCCACUCAGACUGAAGAAGACACUUCUACAAAGCCUGGCAAAAGCUCGGUGGCUGCAGAUGGGGACUAUUAGCCUUCUUAGACAUUCAGUUUGGGGAAGGAAUUCUCUUUUGCCAAGCAAACCCUGUGAAAAACAAAGGAAUCUUGGAAACCUUUGAGGAUCGGCGUCUCUGUACCUAUCUGGGUGACCUGUCCCAGUGCUGCACUGUUGCCCUAGAUAAAAAGUUUUUCUUAAUGUCCAGUCUGAACUUCCAAAGGCUUCAGUCAUAAGGUAAACCUACCCACAUGCAAAUGAGUAGACUUCAUAAGGCCCUAUACUUUCUGUUUAUCCAUUUUAAGAGCUGAACAAACAAGUAUAUGGUUAAACAGUUGAAACCAAGAUAUCACAUACCCUGAGCAACUUUUCGGGAAGGUAGAGGAGUUUUGUUGCUGGGCUUCUAGCAUACUUAAUAGUAGUGACAGGUGCCAAUGUAAAAUAGAGUUUGAUUUUCUGACCCAGCUCUGGCAUUGUUUAAAAUGCAAUGAAA